rnacentral:rRNA from 1 species
UACGGGGGGGGCAAGCGUUGUUCGGAAUUACUGGGCGUAAAGGGUGCGUAGGCGGCUUUCUAAGUUGGAUGUGAAAACUAUGGGCUCAACCCAUAGCCUGCAUCCAAAACUGGAGAGCUUGGGUUCUGGAGGGGAAAGCGGAAUUCCUGGUGUAGCGGUGAAAUGCGCAGAUAUCGGGAGGAACACCUAUGGCGAAGGCAGCUCGCUGGGACGUUACUGACGCUGAGACGCGAAAGCGUGGGGAGCAAACAGG